rnacentral:rRNA from 1 species
UACGUAGGGUGCGAGCGUUGUCCGGAAUUAUUGGGCGUAAAGAGCUUGUAGGCGGUUUGUCGCGUCUGCCGUGAAAUCCGGGGCUCAACCCCGGACUUGCGGUGGGUACGGGCAGACUAGAGUGUGGUAGGGGAGACUGGAAUUCCUGGUGUAGCGGUGAAAUGCGCAGAUAUCAGGAAGAACACCCGUGGCUAAGGCGGCUCUCUAGUACGGUACUGACGCUGAGGAGCGAAAGCGUGGGGAGCGAACAGG